CUCCGUUGUUGCUACCCUUUUCCUUCCAGCAACCCAUUUCAACCCUUAAAUUCUAUAAAUUCAUGAUUCUUCAAGAGAAAAGAAGAGGGGAGAAAGAAAUAUUAAGUAUGUGCCAAUUCCUUCUGACCAGUUGAAUUUGGGGGGAUGGUGAGAGUUUGUAGUUGGCUGCGUGAGGCACAUGGGAGGGAUAUUUAGGUUCGUAGGAUAGAACACGUGGGAAGGGUUUUAGCUCUGCUCCAAUUCUCCACUUUCUAUUUCAUACUUGGUUGCAGAAAAGCCUGUGGCUGCACUUCCACUGGCCAAGAAAUCUCUUGAACUCAGUCUCCUGGGAGAUUUCCACUAGAACUUUUAUUUCGUUCUGGUUUAGAGCAUUCCAGAGCAGGAUGGCUUUGGAGAAUGGGGUGUGGGGCCUGUCUGUCCCACUUGGUGCGUUAUGUCCAAACCCAGACUUGGUGUUACCUUCGUCACUCCCUGCCGUCUACUCCUAGAAUGGAUUGCCCUCGUGGUAGUUAACGGGAAGGUGACGUGACAGGUUUACCACUUCCUUUAUUUUGGGAAAAGACCCUCUGGAACCCUCUCAGGCACCUAGAAGGUAUUGGAUCAGGAAUGCGGCUGCCCCCAAAUGCCUCGUGUGAAAGCAGAAGUGAUUAAUCUCUCUCCCCUCCCACCUUUGGGGCGUCGCGUUGAGGCUGUCUAAAGAUCGUGUGGUUCCCAAGUAGCUUGGAAUUCUUGCUCGUCUCUCUCCCUUCCAACCUCUGGGCAUCCCUGGAAUCAAAGCUAGCUGUGCCAGGUGACUCUUCAGUCAUGAUACACCUCUUCCCUACCUGAUUCGCCAAAACCCAGUGUCAUGGAGGCGUGCUCUGCUGAGUCUGCUACAUCCUUCUCCCUGCCGCGAAUGGCAACCUGGCCUUGCAGACAGGCCAUGAGCACCUGGCUUACUCCUGAGGCUGCCAGCUUAUUCGCCUCUGACUCACAGGAUGACAGUGAUUAAAUUUCAUUAUCAGUCAGGUUCCAUCUCUGGAAGCUUUUGGCUUCAGGUAGGCCACACGCUUCAGCUCUGCUAAAGGGUUUUUGACUAAUGUGCAGCGGCGUUGAAUCACAGUAGAUUUUCACAUGUUCGUAAUUACUCUUCUGAAGUAACACAUAUGCACCGUUCUCUCCGGAUGAGGGGAACAGAGAGAACAACAAUGUCAUUUGACUCUUUUCUUCUAAGAGAUGGAAGCAAUUUGUGACCUAGUUUUUUUCUUGAGUACCCUGAACUCUCUUGAGCCCAAAGAAAAGAACACAGCCUUGAAGGGCCAC
rnacentral:lncRNA from 1 species